GACGAACGCUGGCGGCGUGCUUAACACAUGCAAGUCGAACGGUAAGGCCCUUCGGGGUACACGAGUGGCGAACGGGUGAGUAACACGUGGGUGAUCUGCCCUGCACUUCGGGAUAAGCCUGGGAAACUGGGUCUAAUACCGGAUAGGACCACUGCCUGCAUGGGGGGUGGUGGAAAGCUGUUGCGGUGUGGGAUGGGCCCGCGGCCUAUCAGCUUGUUGGUGGGGUGAUGGCCUACCAAGGCGACGACGGGUAGCCGGCCAGAGAGGGUGACCGGCCACACUGGGACUGAGAUACGGCCCAGACUCCUACGGGAGGCAGCAGUGGGGAAUAUUGCACAAUGGGCGCAAGCCUGAUGCAGCGACGCCGCGUGAGGGAUGACGGCCUUCGGGUUGUAAACCUCUUUCAGCACCGACGAAGCGCAAGUGACGGUAGGUGCAGAAGAAGGACCGGCCAACUACGUGCCAGCCGCCGCGGUAA
rnacentral:rRNA from 1 species